UGAUGGGCUAGUUCUAUUUUAAAAUCUUUAGUGGGAUGAGGUAGUUAACAGGUUCAGGUGAUAGACUUCUCAUAAAAACUCCCUCACACUAAAAGGCAAAUAAAUACUGCCAAAUGAGGCUUAGAGCUCUUGGCUGUAAAAGAAAGAGGAUACUGUGGAUCUUGCGUGGGAAUGGGACCUCUGAUGCUGCUCGGAAGUCUUCAGAAUAGAGCUGAGCCUGGGAAAGGAGGACCACAGGGUCAUCUUUCUCUUUACAUGGAGCUCUGCUAGGUCUGUCUGAUUGCCUUUGGGUUCUGCUCCUUGGAAGGUUUACCUCUGUUCCUGAGAGCUAGGAGUGUAUCCUAAGCAACCUUCCUCUAGACGUGGCUGGACCUCGGGAGUGCAGCCUGGCUUCCACCCCUUCCUCCAGCCUGGAUGUAGCAUCCUUUGAAGUUGAGGAUUUCAUUUUUGUUAAUGCUUCUCAGCAGUGACCUGAAAUCCUCUUUUGGAACAAGGCCCAUGGUGUGACUUAAUGUGGACAUCCAGGAGUUAGAUGCCUCAGAGCAAAUGGCCUGAAAAUGACUGAUGGAGACACGGCAGGUGGUGUGCUAUUAGAAGGAUGACAUCACUGAAAAAAACCAGACCCAGGCUCUUCCAGUUAUUUGGUCACAAGCAAGAGAAACUCAAGACUACUUUCAGAAAACUUGCCAGUAGGACAAUAUGCUUAAAAUUCCAAACUGAUGGAAGCUGUCUUUCAUUAUGGGGAUGUGUUGUGUGACUCUAACCACUUUGUGCCUAUCUCAAUAAUGUUUUCAUUACUUGCAAUUAAACUCUUAAUUUGCU